rnacentral:rRNA from 1 species
CGGGACGGGUGAGUAACGCGUGGGUAACCUACCCUGUACAGGGGGAUAACAGUCAGAAAUGGCUGCUAAUACCGCAUAAGACCACAGCACCGCAUGGUGCAGGGGUAAAAACUCCGGUGGUACAGGAUGGACCCGCGUCUGAUUAGCUGGUUGGUGAGGUAACGGCUCACCAAGGCGACGAUCAGUAGCCGGCUUGAGAGAGUGAACGGCCACAUUGGGACUGAGACACGGCCCAA